rnacentral:tRNA from 1 species
GGGGAUUUGGCUCAGCGACAUAAGCACCUGCCUUGCAAGCAGACAGUGAAUUCAAUCCCCG